rnacentral:misc_RNA from 1 species
AACCUUAUGGACCUGCGGGCGUAUACCUGCGGAAGGAUCAUUAACGAGUUAUUGAACAGGUUGUAGCUGGCCUCUAGGGGCAUGUGCACGCCUGGCUCAUCCACUCUUUAACCUCUGUGCACUUGUUGUAGGUCGGUGGAAGGGCAAGCCUGAUAUCUUUUUAUUAGACUUGCUUGAAAGCCUUCCUAUGUCUUUUACAAACGCUUCAGUUUAAGAAUGUAAUCUUUGCGUAUAACGCAU